AUUAAGUUCCCUCUGUAUGCAGAAUAUUGUGCAACAUGGUUAUGGGUACUACAGUGGAUGUGAGUGUGUAGACCUUGUACAAUAGAGCUUAUAGGCUAAAGAGAAGACAGGAAGAAACAACAGGAACACAUAUAGCUGGAAUGCAGAUGGGAUCUGUGCUACUUACGCUAGCCAUGGGAUGAUUAGAACAAGAUAAGAGACAUGAGGAAGACUUCUUCAAGGAGGUGCUCAAGCCAUGUUUUCGAAAAGAGAACUCAAGGUCUGGCAGGGAGAAAGGAGCAAGGGCAAGUAGAGCUGCGGCUGUCUGGCGCCACUGUAAUGCUGUCUCCUCCUCUGAGUUCAUCCUGGAAACAUUUUCUCCCGUAAGAUAUGCACAGGUCUUACGUUUACAUGUUUCACUGAAAGAAAUUUGAUUCCACUGAUGGGAUGACAAAGAAGACUGGAGAAACCUAAUCCUAGGUGCUGCUGUUGCGACAAACAAGAAGCACGAGACACAGUGCUGUUUUAGGGUGGGGCAGAAUUAUGCUGAGGGAAAAGUUAUUAUCACUCUUUAAGGCCAAGGAAGCCACAAUUUUUAAAGAAGCUUCUAGAAAUUCUACCCAAUAGAAAAUAAAGAUAAACUUCUGUAAGGAACUUCAUUCUUUUCAGAAUUUGCCAUCUGAAAUGUAGAAGCCCAUUCCUUCAUGGUUCUCAUAGAUAUUUAGUGUGACUGAGGGGUCAGUGGACUCAUAGCACUCAGGCCAGGCUUCUCCUGAGUCCCUUUCUUCGGCACAGAGGGAGUGAUUCACAGAUCCUCUACCCCCAAAGGCAUUGUUUUCUCAUCUCAACAAGGAUCCAGCACCCGUCAUUUUAUCAGCACACGUCACUAGCUUCUCAAGUGAGACUACUCUUAAGUGAUCUGUGUUUGAAGAGUGCCUUUCCCUUUCCCUUCCAUAACUAAGAGAAUGAAAAAGGACACUCACUCCCUAUAUGAAAGCUGUGUAUUGUAAGCAGUCAUCUUGCCUGGCUGAGAACUCUAGGAAAUUUUUCUCUGCUCUCCUUUAGGCUGACACUCAUAGCCAGCCCUUCUGUUUAUUAGCCCACUGAAUCUAUUUGAAAAUAUUUUUGCUUUCAUUAUAAUAUAAGUCACAUUCUUCUUGCAUCUGCCACUGCAUUUUCCAAAAGGGUUAUGUCAAGGGAAAUUCAACACUCACUUUUCUCAUUAUUUGCUUACCAGCUUGCUCACUCAUCAAAAGACCAGAGUUAUUUGAUACUUCAGAAGAUUAUUUUCCCCCUUAGAUGAUGUGUCAAGGGAAGGGGAGCUGGCCCCAGUGUCAGGUGACGGAAUUUUCUUCGCAUUUCUACUGUUGACUCAAUAAAUGCCCUUGGGCAAGUCA